AAUGUAUGUGUGUUUGCGUGAAAGUCACAUGAAAAACUCUACAGCUCACGACUACUACAAUGUCAUGUUAAGAGUGGAUUAAAUACAAGCGGCAGCUUUGCUAGCUUGCUAGCCUCCAUAUAACAAAGCGUCAAGUAAGUGCAAGUCUUUUUUUUUUUUUCCAAUCAGCUUUAUUAAUGCCUCAAGUCGGUGCAAGUUCAGACUAACACUUGGUGACACCUUCUGACGCAUCACGCUGUCAUUGGCUGAUUUUCGGGGCACCGCCUCCGCUCUCAUCUCAUUGGCUGAGUUAUACAGCACGUACGUGAGUUUGUGUGAGAGACAGGUUUCUCCCUUCAAACUCCUUCCUCUUCGUAGUCACCCUGAAACUAACUUAAACAAUUAAGUUACAAAUUAAAAUUUUGCACACAGCAUUAUCGUGUAGUGCGUGUGUGUUUGUCUGUGAGACCAGCUGACUCUUAGACUCUUUGAGUCGUGUUUCGACUCAGGCUAAUCCUCCUCCUCCUCCUGCCUCCACUUGCGCUCCUGAUCAAGACAUCUCGUGAACGGUAGGAUUGUUUUUGUUUUUCAGUUUUAUUCAUUUACAGUAUUCUUACUUAUUACCUUAUUUUACAUUGGAAUGUUACUCUACUAUGUUUAUGAUAAUGUUUUCUUAUAUUUUCCCACCAUAUUUGGUGGACUUUGAAUAUUUUGAAGGUGUGAGUUUGGGAAGAUCUUGGAACGGAUUAGGCAAUUUACAUGUAUUGUACGCUUCGUAUAACAUAAAAACUCUAUAACAUAAAGGUUCUCGGAACAGAUUAUUUACGUUGUAGGGGCGUCUACUGUAUUUCGUUUUUUAAAAACCUGAAUAUUACACCUGUCUUACUCCUUUUCUAACCCGAAAAUUGGGUUAUGUAUACACCUAUCGGGAUAUCCUGCAGAAGGAACAUUAAUUUGUGUUCUGCGCAUGUUCUAUUCGAAAGGAAUCUUGUGUCUUUGGCAGAAACCAUUUGUAAACAACGCAAACGCCACACUUUUGGAGCGUGGAGGAAACAAGCCACCUCGUUAGUGUGGUGAAAGACAGGAACAUUACUCUUUUAUAGACGGUAGAAAGUACCGCGAUAGCGAAAUCUAUCAGAAGGUGAGCGAGAAGUUAUGCAAAGCAGGGUUUGUAUGAACGCAGCUUCAAAAGUGUCCGGGGGGCUCUGGUGGAUGUAGCAUGAAUAUGGGUGGCACAGCUCGAGCUCCAUUUCCUAUUUCUUCACAUUCUCGCCUUCCAUUAAUGAAGUAAGUGAGAUAGAAUAGUGUCGAGUACUGGUGGUGGGUCAGUACCAGCACCAAAGCGCAAUCAAAGGCGUUCGUUAUCCGCUCUGUCGUUGUUGUUUUUGGAUAUUGGACGAAGACGCGGAAAUGACAAGCAGCAUUGCGUUAUGACGUUUUCCGUGCGUCGAGCCUUUUUUUUUCCCCCCCACGUCACGCAUGUAAACGGGUUAUUCCAAAUGUUUCAGAAACCAGAACAUUGACCUUAACCCGGAUUGACUGCAUGUAAACAUAGCGAUAUAUAAAUGUUACUUUAUUUACUGUGGAAACUUUUCAGGGAGCUAUUUAAGUUUUUAUUAAACUUCUAAGAGAUGCUUCUGAGUCUAGGAACUCCAUGGUCUUUGUUUGGUUCAAUAAACAUGCUUUAGGCAGUUAAACCAAGUUAAGUGUAUGUAUCAUUCAACAUUUUUACACCAAUUUUUUACACUUUUACUGGAAAUUAUUAUCGGCUCCGAAUAUCGGUUAUCAGCUACUACUAAUAAUCGGUAUCGGUCCUGAAAAAGCCAUAUGGGUCGAUAUCUACAGCAGAUACCUUAAAUCAGGUAUCUGGAUCUGGAUGAGAAGUGAAACAAUGUGGAUCUGUGCAUCCCUAGUGUGGCAAAAGAGGGAGCUUAGUGUAAAGACUGCGUACGUGUGCGCCAACCCAGAACACCGGCAGCUGAUAGUGCAGUGUUGUGUUCCACGAGAGGAUAGCUUGUAACAGCUGGGGCACCACCGCCUCAAUCCCCGUUCUCCCCUUGUAUGCUGGCCGAGGAGCUGCUGUUUCUGUCUGUGCAGGCCACAUGAGAAGCUGGGACAUACUACAAGGGCGGGUACCUGCUGUCAAAGAGUGAAAUGUGUUCUGAUAAGGCGGGCACAGGUGAAGGCUGGAUGACAAGAGAGUUCACUCUGUGCAUCUGUCUCAGCACCUGGGUGCAUUGGUUCCAUAACGGAAUGAACACAGUUGGACGCAGUAGACUGUCAUUUGAAACUUCUGCAAACAUCCCUAGGGUCACGGAACAAAAAAGUCAAGUGGUAGACCAAUGUCACCAGCCCUGAGCCGGAGGAUCACUGGCUGUCAGUCAAGACAAGGGACCAUCCUCGACCCCCAUGAAGGUUGUUACUGGUGCCAAGUGCAGUCCAAUAACCAUCAAACGCCAUCUGCCAAAGAUGACUUUUAAGAAGAAAACGGUCUUCAAAAGUCCUCGUCUACGACAGAUUUAGCUUCAAGAGUAAUUCACAAAAAUCAGAAAAAAAAAAAGAAUACACAAAAUUGCCUGUUUGGAAUUUUCAGGAGAGCACCAAACAUCCAUCCAUCCAUUUUCUAUACCGCUUCUUCCUCAUUAGGGUCGCGGGGGCAUGCUGGAGCCUAUCCCAGCUGACUUCGGGCGACAGGCGGGGUACACCCUGGACUGGUCGCCAGCCAAUGGCAGGGCACAUAUAGACAAACAAGCAUUCACACUCACAUUCAUACCUAUGGACAAUUUAGAGUCUCCAAUUAACCUAACAUGCAUGUUUUUUGGAAUGUGGGAGGAAACCGGAGUACCCGGAGAAAACUCACACGCACACGGGGAGAACAUGCAAACUCCACACAGAAAUGCUCAGGGGAGAAUCGAACCCAAAUCUUCACGAUCUCCAGGCUGUUACUGUGUUGGCCAACGUGCUAACCACUAGACCACCGUGCGGCCCAACACCAAACAUAGAACACUGAAAAGGUGAAACCAAGUUUUAUCCUCUGAUGAGGAAAAAAAUAUAACCUUGACGGUCCUGAUGGCUUCCCAUGUUACUUGCAUGCCAAGGAGGUCCCACAUGAGAUGUUUUCCCACACAGCACAGUGGAGGGGGCGCCAUCAUCUUCCUUCAAUGGAACAAUGGAACUACAGGUUGUGCAUGGGCGUCAUACGGCGACUGGAUAUGUGGAGAUGUUGCAGAGGCCAUCCCUCAUGACUGAAGGCUCUCGUCUGUGUGGUAAUGACUGGCUUUUUCAACAGGACAAUGCUGCACUUCAUAAUGCCAGCCUGACAAAGGACUUAUUCCAGAGGAAUACGCUUACUCCUUUUGGAUCAUCCUGCAUGUUCCCCUGAUCUAAAUCCAACUGAACAUUUAGGGAUGGAUGGCAAGGCAACUUCACAAAAAUGGAUAUAUGCUCCAGACGGUGGAUGCCCUCCGUGUGGCCAUCUUCACCAACUGGAGCAACAUUCCCACUAGCCUCCUGGCAACACUGGCAUCAAACAUGCCCAUACCCAUUUUCCAGCUGUUUAACAAGAAUGGAGCAGCUAAUUAUUACUGACUAUUUGAACAUUAUAUUCAUA